AUUGAACGCUGGCGGCAUGCUUUACACAUGCAAGUCGAACGGUAACAGGCCGCAAGGUGCUGACGAGUGGCGAACGGGUGAGUAAUGCAUCGGAACGUGCCCAGUCGUGGGGGAUAACGCAGCGAAAGCUGCGCUAAUACCGCAUACGAUCUAUGGAUGAAAGCGGGGGACCGUAAGGCCUCGCGCGAUUGGAGCGGCCGAUGUCAGAUUAGGUAGUUGGUGGGGUAAAGGCUCACCAAGCCAACGAUCUGUAGCUGGUCUGAGAGGACGACCAGACAAACUGGGAAUGAGACACGGCCCAGACGCCUACGGGGGGCAGCCGUGGGGAAUUUUGGACAAUGGGCGCAAGCCUGAUUCAGCAAUGCCGCGUGCAGGAAGAAGGCCUUCGGGUUGUAAACUGCUUUUGUACGGAACGAAACGGUCCUGGUUAAUACCCGGGGCUAAUGACGGUACCGUAAGAAUAAGCACCGGCUAACUACGUGCCAGCAGCCGCCGUAAAAC
rnacentral:rRNA from 1 species